GACAGAGGGUGCUAACGUUGUUCGGAAUCACUGGGCAUAAAGCGCACGUAGGCGGUCCACUAAGUCGGAUGUGAAAGCCCCCGGCUCAACCGGGGAAUUGCAUCCGAUACUGGCGGACUCGAGGAUGGUUGGGGUGAGUGGAACUCCAGGUGGAGCGGUGAAAUGCGUAGAUAUCUGGAGGAACACCAGUGGCGAAAGCGGCUCACUGGACCAUUUCUAACGCUGAGGUGCGAAAGCUAGGGGAGCAAACGGG
rnacentral:rRNA from 1 species